CAACCUGCCCACCACUUGGGGAUAACCUUGCGAAAGUAAGACUAAUACCCAAUGAUAUCUCUANAAGACAUCUGAAAGAGAUUAAAGAUUUAUCGGUGAUGGAUGGGGAUGCGUCUGAUUAGCUUGUUGGCGGGGUAACGGCCCACCAAGGCAACGAUCAGUAGGGGUUCUGAGAGGAAGGUCCCCCACAUUGGAACUGAGACACGGUCCAAACUCCUACGGGAGGCAGCAGUGAGGAAUAUUGGUCAAUGGGCGAGAGCCUGAACCAGCCAAGUAGCGUGCAGGAUGACGGCCCUAUGGGUUGUAAACUGCUUUUAUAAGGGAAUAAAGUGAGUCUCGUGAGACUUUUUGCAUGUACCUUAUGAAUAAGGACCGGCUAAUUCCGUGCCAGCAGCCGCGGUAAUACGGAAGGUCCGGGCGUUAUCCGGAUUUAUUGGGUUUAAAGGGAGCGUAGGCCGGAGAUUAAGCGUGUUGUGAAAUGUAGACGCUCAACGUCUGCACUGCAGCGCGAACUGGUUUCCUUGAGUACGCACAAAGUGGGCGGAAUUCGUGGUGUAGCGGUGAAAUGCUUAGAUAUCACGAAGAACUCCGAUUG
rnacentral:rRNA from 1 species